rnacentral:rRNA from 1 species
CCCUGAUGCAGCCAUGCCGCGUGUGUGUAAGAAGGCCUUCGGGUUGUAAAGCACUUUCAGGUAGGGAGGAAGGUAGUGUAGUUAACACCUGCACUAUUUGACGUUACCUACAGAAGAAGCACCGGCUAACUCCGUGCCAGCAGCCGCGGUAAUACGGAGGGUGCGAGCGUUAAUCGGAAUUACUGGGCGUAAAGCGCAUGCAGGCGGCCUGUUAAGUCAGAUGUGAAAGCCCCGGGGCUUAACCUCGGAAUUGCAUUUGAAACUGGCAGGCUAGAGUCUUGUAGAGGGGGUAGAAUUUCAGGUGUAGCGGUGAAAUGCGUAGAGAUCUGAAGGAAUACCAGUGGCGAAGGCGGCCCCCUGGACAAAGACUGACGCUCAGAUGCGAAAGCGUGGGGAGCAAACAGGAUUAGAUACCCUGGUAG